rnacentral:lncRNA from 1 species
CCAACAAUGUCACCCAUCUACCCCAACAAUGUCACCCAUUGGGUGUCCCCAGCAGUGUCACCCAUUGUCCCCAACCAUGUCACCCACUGUCCCCAACCAUGUCACCCAUUGUCCCCAACAGCGUCACCCAUUGGUUGUCCCCAACAACGUCACCCAUUGUCCCCAACAACGUCACCCAUUGUCCCCAACAAUGUCACCCAUUGACCCCAACAAUGUCACCCGCCGGGUGUCCCCAGCAGUGUCACCCAUUGGUUGUCCCCAACAACGUCACCCAUUGUCCCCAACAACGUCACCCAUUGUCCCCAACAAUGUCACCCAUUGACCCCAACCAUGUCACCCAUUGUCCCCAACAGCGUCACCCAUUGUCCCCAACAGCGUCACCCAUUGGUUGUCCCCAACGUCACCCAUUGUCCCCAACAGCGUCACCCAUUGACCCCAACCAUGUCACCCAUUGUCCCCAACAGCACCACCCAUUGUCCCCAACAGCGUCACCCAAUGUUGUCCCCAACAAUGUCACCCAUUGUCCCCAACACUGUCACCCAUUGUCCCCAACAGCAUCACCCACUGGUUGUC